GAUGAACGCUGGCGGCGUGCCUAAUACAUGCAAGUCGAGCGAACGGACGAGAAGCUUGCUUCUCUGAUGUUAGCGGCGGACGGGUGAGUAACACGUGGAUAACCUACCUAUAAGACUGGGAUAACUUCGGGAAACCGGAGCUAAUACCGGAUAAUAUUUUGAACCGCAUGGUUCAAAAGUGAAAGACGGUCUUGCUGUCACUUAUAGAUGGAUCCGCGCUGCAUUAGCUAGUUGGUAAGGUAACGGCUUACCAAGGCAACGAUGCAUAGCCGACCUGAGAGGGUGAUCGGCCACACUGGAACUGAGACACGGUCCAGACUCCUACGGGAGGCAGCAGUAGGGAAUCUUCCGCAAUGGGCGAAAGCCUGACGGAGCAACGCCGCGUGAGUGAUGAAGGUCUUCGGAUCGUAAAACUCUGUUAUUAGGGAAGAACGUAUGUGUAAGUAACUGUGCACAUCUUGACGGUACCUAAUCAGAAAGCCACGGCUAACUACGUGCCAGCAGCCGCGGUAAUACGUAGGUGGCAAGCGUUAUCCGGAAUUAUUGGGCGUAAAGCGCGCGUAGGCGGUUUUUUAAGUCUGAUGUGAAAGCCCACGGCUCAACCGUGGAGGGUCAUUGGAAACUGGAAAACUUGAGUGCAGAAGAGGAAAGUGGAAUUCCAUGUGUAGCGGUGAAAUGCGCAGAGAUAUGGAGGAACACCAGUGGCGAAGGCGACUUUCUGGUCUGUAACUGACGCUGAUGUGCGAAAAGCGUGGGGAUCAAACAGGAUUAGAUACCCUGGUAGUCCACGCCGUAAACGAUGAGUGCUAAGUGUUAGGGGGUUUCCGCCCCUUAGUGCUGCAGCUAACGCAUUAAGCACUCCGCCUGGGGAGUACGACCGCAAGGUUGAAACUCAAAGGAAUUGACGGGGACCCGCACAAGCGGUGGAGCAUGUGGUUUAAUUCGAAGCAACGCGAAGAACCUUACCAAAUCUUGACAUCCUUUGACAACUCUAGAGAUAGAGCCUUCCCCUUCGGGGGACAAAGUGACAGGUGGUGCAUGGUUGUCGUCAGCUCGUGUCGUGAGAUGUUGGGUUAAGUCCCGCAACGAGCGCAACCCUUAAGCUUAGUUGCCAUCAUUAAGUUGGGCACUCUAAGUUGACUGCCGGUGACAAACCGGAGGAAGGUGGGGAUGACGUCAAAUCAUCAUGCCCCUUAUGAUUUGGGCUACACACGUGCUACAAUGGACAAUACAAAGGGCAGCGAAACCGCGAGGUCAAGCAAAUCCCAUAAAGUUGUUCUCAGUUCGGAUUGUAGUCUGCAACUCGACUACAUGAAGCUGGAAUCGCUAGUAAUCGUAGAUCAGCAUGCUACGGUGAAUACGUUCCCGGGUCU
rnacentral:rRNA from 1 species